rnacentral:rRNA from 1 species
GAUUUGUUUUUUAAUUUGAAAAUGGGAUGAAAGGAUACACUAUUAAACUUAGUAUUAUUUUUAUUUUUAGAAAUUAAAUUAUUAAUGCAAAUUUUAAUAUAAUUUUUUUAGACGAUAAGACCCUAAGAAUCUUAAUUUUGAACAAAAAUAUUUUUAUAAAUUUUCAUUAAAUUUAAUUGGGGAAAUAAUUAAUAAAGUUAUUAAAACAUAUUUGAGACUAGAUCCUUUUUAGAAAAAACGAAAAAGAUACUCUAGGGAUAACAGCAUAAUAUUUAUUCAAGUUCAUAUUUAGAUAAAUGA